AGUGAACGCUGGCGGUAGGCCUAACGCAUGCAAGUCGAACGGCAGCACAGGAGAGCUUGCUCUCUGGGUGGCGAGUGGCGGACGGGUGAGGAAUACAUCGGAAUCUACUCUGUCGUGGGGGAUAACGUAGGGAAACUUACGCUAAUACCGCAUACGACCUACGGGUGAAAGCAGGGGACCUUCGGGCCUUGCGCGAUUGAAUGAGCCGAUGUCGGAUUAGCUAGUUGGCGGGGUAAAGGCCCACCAAGGCGACGAUCCGUAGCUGGUCUGAGAGGAUGAUCAGCCUCACUGGAACGGAGACACGGUCCAGACUCCUACGGGAGGCAGCAGUGGGGAAUAUUGGACGAUGGGCGCAAGCCUGAUCCAGCCAUACCGCGUGGGUGAAGAAGGCCUUCGGGUUGUAAAGCCCUUUUGUUGGGAAAGAAAUCCAGCUGGCUAAUACCCGGUUGGGAUGAAGGUACCCAAAGAAUAAGCACCGGCUAACUUCGUGCCAGCCGCCGCCGUAA
rnacentral:rRNA from 1 species